AGGGAAACCGAGUCUUAACUGGGCGUUAAGUUGCAGGGUAUAGACCCGAAACCCGGUGAUCUAGCCAUGGGCAGGUUGAAGGUUGGGUAACACUAACUGGAGGACCGAACCGACUAAUGUUGAAAAAUUAGCGGAUGACUUGUGGCUGGGGGUGAAAGGCCAAUCAAACCGGGAGAUAGCUGGUUCUCCCCGAAAGCUAUUUAGGUAGCGCCUCGUGAACUCAUCUUCGGGGGUAGAGCACUGUUUCGGCUAGGGGGUCAUCCCGACUUACCAACCCGAUGCAAACUGCGAAUACCGAAGAAUGUUAUCACGGGAGACACACGGCGGGUGCUAACGUCCGUCGUGAAGAGGGAAACAACCCAGACCGCCAGCUAAGGUCCCAAAGUCACAGUUAAGUGGGAAACGAUGUGGGAAGGCUCAGACAGCCAGGAUGUUGGCUUAGAAGCAGCCAUCAUUUAAAGAAAGCGUAAUAGCUCACUGGUCGAGUCGGCCUGCGCGGAAGAUGUAACGGGGCUAAACUGUGCACCGAAGCUGCGGCAGCGACGCUUAUGCGUUGUUGGGUAGGGGAGCGUUCUGUAAGCCUGCGAAGGUGUCCUGUGAGGGAUGCUGGAGGUAUCAGAAGUGCGAAUGCUGACAUAAGUAACGAUAAUGCGGGUGAAAAGCCCGCUCGCCGGAAGACCAAGGGUUCCUGUCCAACGUUAAUCGGGGCAGGGUGAGUCGACCCCUAAGGCGAGGCCGAAAGGCGUAGUCGAUGGGAAACGGGUUAAUAUUCCCGUACUUGGUGUUACUGCGAAGGGGGGACGGAGAAGGCUAUGUUGGCCGGGCGACGGUUGUCCCGGUUUAAGCGUGUAGGCUGGUUU
rnacentral:rRNA from 1 species